CAGGUAGUAUGUGAAGACAGCAGCGGGAUCCCUCCCGAGGAGUUGGUAAUAAGGUAUCCCCAGAGCAUCAAACUAUUAAAUCAUCAUGUGAGAAGAGCCUCAACGUUUAUCAGGAUCCCAGUUUCCUGACCAGGGAUUGAACUCAGGCCUGCUUCAGUGAAAGCAUGGAGUCCCAACCACUGGACCAGCUGGGAAUUCCCUAUUCAAGAUCUUCAUCUCCUUACCCUGUAUCCUGAUGACACAGGGGAGGAAAGUUUCCAUAGUUUGAUAUAACCGGCAGCUGCCAACUGCACACAGGUGUCAGGCCAAAAGACAAAACCAAGCCAAAGAUCAGUAGAAGGAGAGAUUUAUUACUGCUUGCUUGCAGCAGUUUGCUUUAAGGUACCUGGAAGUUCCUGAGAGGAUCUGUAAGUCAACAGCACGGAUUUUUGAGCCAUGACCUGACCUGAUGUCCCUUCCCUGCCUCUCCCAAAGGCAGCAUGCUUGGGGCAGACAACGGGACCCCAGCCCCAGAGGGAGCAUCCAUCCCUGCUUAACCACCACCUGAGUCACGGGAGGGAGCUGCCAGCCAGAGAAGGCUUCUGCCCUCGAGUGAAGGGCUGACCAGGAGCAGAGGCUUGCUGCCCUCACCUAGCAUCACCGGGGAGCGUGCCGCUAGUCCAGGAAAAGAUGAAAAUUCAGAAUUCAAAGUACGGUUUCUGCUUGCUGAAUAUCACUUUCACACCAUCCUAAAGUCGAAAGAUAGAUGUUGCCUUUUUCCAAAAGAAACUUGAAGUGGGUUAAGAUAAAGAUGUGUACACGUUAAGAUGAACAGAGCAGACGUGAACAAGACAAGCGGGAAAUUGAGGAGAAGCAGACAACCUGACCUCAAGAACUAGCUAACCUCUGUGACUGACGAUAAGACUGGGCUUCGAGAGCUGGUAUCUAAGGCAGCUAACAGGAAACCUGAAACGUGCUUGCAGGAUCUCAGUUCCCCGACCAGGGAUUGAACCUACACCAUUGGCAGUGAAAGUGCAGAACCUAAUCUCUGGAUCGCCAUGGAAUUCCCUCAAAUACCCAUUUUGUUUCACCACAUGAAAUUGAAGCUACAUUCAUUUUUAAGACUUUAAUUCCGGAACAAAAUGUCAUUGGGUUAGAAUAUUCUGAUACAGCCCCACACCGAGCUCCCUCUUCUGAAUCAGGAUCAUCUGAACCUUGCAUUUUAGCAAAUAAAAAGGAAUGAUUAAACUAGCAAUGUGCUUUUCCCAUACAUUUAGCUCUUCCAUCUCUGACUACAAAGUUUGGAGGCAAUAAGGUCCCCAGUAUUUUGGUUUGAAAAACAUCUCUGUGUGAUUCUUGUAGCCAUGACAAGUAAGAAAAAAGGACUUCCCUGGUGAUCCAGUGGCUAAGACUCCAAGCUCCCAAGGCAGAGGGCCCGUGUUCAGUGCAGUCAAGGAACUAGAUCCCACACGCCACAGCUAGAGAGCCCCAAGCUGCAACGAAGAUCCUGUGGGCUGCAGCUGAGACCAGAGCAGCCAAAUAAAUGCGUGCGCUCAGUCGUGUCCAA